rnacentral:rRNA from 1 species
CGUGUAGGCGGCUUGGUAAGUCAGUGGUGAAAUCCUGCGGCUCAACCGUAGAACUGCCAUUGAUACUGAUAUUCUUGAAUGUAGUUGAGGUAGGCGGAAUGUGUAAUGUAGCGGUGAAAUGCUUAGAUAUUACACAGAACACCGAUUGCGAAGGCAGCUUACUAAACUAUGAUUGACGCUGAGGCACGAAAGCGUGGGGAGCGAACAGGAUUAGAUACCCUGGUAGUCC